UGUCAUGGCGGCUGUGCGCAGGGCGCAUUCGUGCGCGCUGGGUUUCUUGGAGUCCCGGUCUACCAACCUGUGUACAGCCGUCACCAAU
rfam:Pseudomonas alkylphenolica strain KL28 chromosome, complete genome.